rnacentral:rRNA from 1 species
AGUGAACGCUGGCGGUAGGCCUAACACAUGCAAGUCGAACGGCAGCACAGUAAGAGCUUGCUCUUACGGGUGGCGAGUGGCGGACGGGUGAGGAAUACAUCGGAAUCUACUUUUUCGUGGGGGAUAACGUAGGGAAACUUACGCUAAUACCGCAUACGACCUACGGGUGAAAGCAGGGGAUCUUCGGACCUUGCGCGAUUGAAUGAGCCGAUGUCGGAUUAGCUAGUUGGUGGGGUAAAGGCCCACCAAGGCGACGAUCCGUAGCUGGUCUGAGGGGAGGAACAGCGACAGUGAGGGUGAAAGGCCAUCCAGAGUCCGAGGGGAGGCACAAGGGGGUAAUAUGGGACGAGGGGGGCAAGAUUGAACCAGCCAUGCCGGGUGGAUGAAGAGAGCCUUCGGUUUGGAAGCCCUUUUUGUGGUAGAAAAAAACUAGCGAUUGAGACCCCGCUUUUUGUGACGGUACCUAAAUAAUAAGCCCCGGCUAACUUCGUG